GAUGAACGCUGGCGGCGUGCCUAAUACAUGCAAGUCGAGCGAACAGACGAGGAGCUUGCUCCUCUGACGUUAGCGGCGGACGGGUGAGUAACACGUGGAUAACCUACCUAUAAGACUGGGAUAACUUCGGGAAACCGGAGCUAAUACCGGAUAAUAUAUUGAACCGCAUGGUUCAAUAGUGAAAGACGGUUUUGCUGUCACUUAUAGAUGGAUCCGCGCCGCAUUAGCUAGUUGGUAAGGUAACGGCUUACCAAGGCAACGAUGCGUAGCCGACCUGAGGGGGUGAUCGGCCACACUGGAACUUAGACACGGUCCAGACUCCUACGGGAGGCAGCAGUAGGGAAUCUUCCGCAAAGGGCGAAAGCUUGACGGAGCAACGCCGCGUGAGUGAUGAAGGUCUUCGGAUCGUAAAACUCUGUUAUUAGGGAAGAACAAAUGUGUAAGUAACUAUGCACGUCUUGACGGUACCUAAUCAGAAAGCCACGGCUAACUACGUG
rnacentral:rRNA from 1 species